GUCCAUUCCCCUGGACACCAGCCCAAGGCAAUGGCUGCCUGCCUGGACCGGGUGCAGCUGCACUUCCUCAGGAAAAUAAAGUGAAAAAGGAUUCGUCCGACCCAAGAGGAAGUGCUGGUGUUAAGAACAGGCCUCACACUGAGCACCUUCUGAACAGACUUCUGCUGUCGAUCACCAGAAUGGUUCUUCUGUGGGCUCUGACUGCCUCUGUUCAAAGGCCCAUCCCAUUGAAAAGGAAUUUUUC
rnacentral:lncRNA from 1 species